CUCCGGGGGAGGGGAGGGGAGGGGAGGGGAGGGGAGGGGGCAGGACCGCGGCCGGAGCUGGUGCCUGCAUCCGAGCCCCGCGCGCGUAGGGUCUCGCUGCUGGCUCCAGCUGUGUGUUCUUGCACGGCUUUGCUGUUUUUGCUCCGCUCCUGCUCCGCUGCCCUCCCACCCCCCGCCCCGGACCCUCUCCUCUGGGCCGAACAGCCUGGGGACGCCGGGGUUCCCCCUCCGAUUUGGCGGGUGCUGCCUUCGUUUGCACCCCGGGAGCCGGGCGCGAGCUGGUCUUCGUUAACUGUCGCCGCGGCCGCCGCAGCGCCUUCCCGCCGGUGUCCACGGCGGAGUGUUGGGGUGGGGGAGGCGUGAGCGCGGCUUCCCGGCCCGGGGUCGGCGCCCGCCCGCCCUGCCGCCGCCUCGGCCCGGCGCCCCCGAGCCGCGGCCCCUUCCCAGCGCAGGGGCCGGCGGCCGCGGCAGGGCGGGCGCCGCGCGGGGGCAGGGCGGGCGUAUUCAAUGGAAGUAUGUUACCAGCUGCCGGUGCUGCCUCUGGACAGGCCGGUCCCCCAGCACGUCCUCAGCCGCCGAGGAGCCAUCAGCUUCAGCUCCAGCUCCGCGCUCUUCGGCUGCCCCAAUCCCCGGCAGCUCUCCCAGAGGCGUGGAGCUAUCUCCUAUGACAGCUCGGAUCAGACUGCACUGUACAUUCGUAUGCUAGGAGAUGUACGUGUAAGGAGUCGAGCAGGAUUUGAAUCAGAAAGACGAGGUUCUCAUCCAUAUAUUGAUUUUCGUAUUUUUCACGCUCAAUCUGAGAUUGAAGUUUCUGUGUCUGCACGGAAUAUCAGACGGUUACUAAGUUUCCAGCGGUAUCUUAGAUCUUCACGCUUUUUUCGUGGUACUACUGUUUCAAAUUCUCUGAACAUUUUAGAUGAUGAUUAUAAUGGACAAGCCAAGUGUAUGCUGGAAAAAGUUGGAAAUUGGAAUUUUGAUAUCUUUCUAUUUGAUAGACUAACAAAUGGAAAUAGUCUAGUAAGUUUAACCUUUCAUUUAUUUAGUCUCCAUGGAUUAAUUGAGUACUUCCAUUUAGAUAUGAUGAAACUUCGUAGAUUUUUAGUGAUGAUUCAAGAAGAUUACCACAGUCAGAACCCUUACCACAAUGCAGUCCACGCCGCUGACGUUACUCAGGCCAUGCACUGUUACCUGAAAGAACCUAAGCUUGCCAACUCUGUAACUCCUUGGGACGUCUUGCUGAGCUUAAUUGCAGCUGCCACUCAUGAUCUGGAUCAUCCAGGUGUUAAUCAACCUUUCCUCAUUAAAACUAACCAUUACCUGGCAACUUUAUACAAGAAUACCUCAGUUCUGGAAAAUCACCACUGGAGAUCUGCAGUGGGGUUAUUGAGAGAAUCUGGUUUAUUCUCACAUAUGCCAUUAGAAAGCAGACAACAGAUGGAGGCUCAGAUAGGCGCUCUGAUACUGGCCACAGACAUCAGCCGCCAGAAUGAAUACUUGUCCUUGUUUCGGGCCCAUCUGGACAAGGGCGAUCUACAUCUGGAAGAUGCCAGGCAUAGGCACUUGGUCUUACAGAUGGCUUUGAAGUGUGCCGAUAUUUGUAACCCGUGUCGGACCUGGGAAUUAAGCAAGCAGUGGAGUGAAAAAGUAACAGAGGAAUUCUUCCAUCAAGGAGAUAUAGAAAAAAAGUAUCAUUUGGGUGUGAGUCCACUCUGCGAUCGUCAGACUGAAUCAAUUGCCAACAUCCAGAUUGGCAGAUCUCCUUGGGAAGCUAAAUUACAAUCAGCUGGUUACUUGCGCAUGGAUUCCGAGCCAGGGAAGCAAGGUCCCUCACGCAUCCUAUAAGGAGGCGCCGACUGAUGCUCGUGCUUGGGUGGACCGUGGUUCCCCUGGAUGAGGCUAGAGACUGAACCCAGGAGCUGCGUCUGCACACCCCUGGACGAGGCUAGAGACUAAGUCCCAGGAGCUGCGUCUGCACAUCCGCUUGACUGGCAUGUCUAGUAGGUUUCUUGUUCAAAUUCCUGAGGGACAACCUGGACCAACUCAGGAAGGCUGAUCCUGGGCCCCCGACCAGCCUCUGCCUUAGCAGGUGCUCCCCUUGCAGAGGGCCGUCUGCUCUAGGUCAAGGUCGAGGUUAGAGAUGGCGACGGCCUCACGUGCUGUCCACCCUCACUGAACACCGGGUUACACAGCAACUUGCCGCUGCACCUGCGUCUCACCGUCUCUCGUCUUCGAUAGCAGGCGUGGCUGGCCAAUGAAGAGGGAUGGCUCUUAAGCCACCUUUGCGGGAAGGAGCUCUCUGACCUGUCAAAGAGGCUGGAGAACCUCCCAGGGAAAAGAAGUCUUGAGAAGCUCCAGCCAGAGGAACAGUAAGGUGUUCAGUCCUUACAAAGCAGACUAAGGACAGCAGUCUCAGAGGGAAAUAUCUAAGAUUUCUGGAUCCUUCCUUAGAUGCAGACUCACAGGAAUUCACACAGCAAGAGGAUAGGAUGCUUCUGCAGAAGGGCCUGCGACUGGGCAGACACCCAGGACUGAAGACUGAGACCUACCCCUCCACCCUGGCCCGCACACAGGGACCUUGUCUCCUAGGAGAAAACUGUCUGCUGGGAACCUUGUGUAAAAUAAUAUUUUAAGUACGGAGAGAAGCUUGCAUUUGACCAGAGGUCACAAAGUGUGGAAUCAGAAACUAAAGGUUUGAGCCUUGAUUCUUUCCCAGCUGUUCCAGGUUCCUACCCACGCUUGGGUGAGUUGUCAGUUCUUUUGCUGUUGAGGCAGAGAUAGCAGUAUGGCCUAGGGGAGGUGGAAAGAGAGGCCCAGAGGUAGGUUCUAGGCUCUAGAACCCUGAAGAAACUCACACACCUCUUUCUCUUUUAAUGCUGAAGAUGAAUGAAAAAGGUGACACAUUUUAAGCAGUAUAUUUCCACUUGGAAAAUGCAGAAAGCAAAUUAUUCUAAAGUUGCAUGUACAACACAGAAGAAGUUUACCUACUGUGGAAGAAAAAGCAAAAGCAUUUAUAUAGGCAUGAUGGUCCAAGGAAAAGAAAAGUUGCUUUAUUUCAAAACAGUAACUUCCUUAUUUUGGAGCACUGGCUAAAAAUUCAAUUAUUGAUACAAAUAUAAAUAUUUCUUAGGAGGUCAAAAUAAGUAUAUCAGGUGAAUUUUUAAACGAUAGAAAACAAUUAGAAACAAUGUAUGUCAACAACAUGUGUAAAAUUAAGCCACAGUUCAAAUUUAGUAAGCUAAACAGCCAAGCCAUGAAAAUUACCUCAACUAGUAUUAGCUGCUAUCGUUUAGAACAUUGCACAUCAUUUCAAUAACUUAAAAGUGAAUGUAUCUUCUUCAUAUCUCCUAAUCGCCCUGGGAGAUGGAACUUUUUCCCCCACUAGAUUUAAAUAAUAAGUCCAACUAUUUACUCAUGGUAGGAGAUUCUGGAUAACUAUAGCUGAGUUUAACAGAAAUAUAGAAAAUCAUGAAGAUACAUGAAGCAUUUAGAAAUGAUGACUUCCUUUGAAGUCCCAAAUGAGAAAGGAGGCUCUCCACUUCCUGACAGCACCUACAGGUUAUGCUGCUACAUGGUGGAACGCAGCAGAACAGCAGUCUGACUGACCCAUGAUAAGCAACUUACAGGAAAUUCUGUGGCCUAUUCAAUGUUUAAUAGACCAGUAUUAAAAAAAAAUUUUUAACUCCAUUAUGCUGACAUUUCCAGAAGUGUUAACUUAGCAACAAGUCAUCUUUAUGAUAUGCCAUUUUAUUAAACUGAAAGAAAAAAAGAUGGUACAUUCUACUUUUACUUUAAAAGAGAUUUAAUUCAAUAGUUUGAUUGCUCACUAUUGAAAACUACAUUUUCUUCCUCAGAACUGG